rnacentral:rRNA from 1 species
UACAGAGGUCUCAAGCGUUGUUCGGAUUCAUUGGGCGUAAAGGGUGCGUAGGCGGCGCGGUAAGUCGGGUGUGAAAUCUCGGAGCUUAACUCCGAAACUGCAUUCGAUACUGCCGUGCUUGAGGACUGGAGAGGAGACUGGAAUUUACGGUGUAGCGGUGAAAUGCGUAGAUAUCGUAAGGAAGACCAGUGGCGAAGGCGGCAUCCUGGACCGGCAUUGACGCUGAGGAGCGAAAGCCAGGGGAGCAAACGGGG